rnacentral:rRNA from 1 species
AUUGAACGCUGGCGGCAGGCCUAACACAUGCAAGUCGGGCGAGAGGCGGACGGGAGAGUAAUGUAUGGGGAACUGCCCGAUGGAGGGGGAUAACUACUGGAAACGGUAGCUAAUACCGCAUACCAUCAGAUGAACCCAUAUGGGAUUAGCGUGUAGGUGAGGUAACGGCUGACCUAGGCGACGAUCCCUAGCUGGUCUGAGAGGAUGAUCAGCCACACUGGAACUGAGACACGGCCCCGACUCCUACGGGAGGCAGCAGUGGGGAAUAUUGCACAAUGGGCGCAAGCCUGAUGCAGCCAUGCCGCGUGGAUGAAGAAGGCCUUCGGGUUGUAAAGUACUUUCAGUCGGGAGGCGUUACCGACAGAAGAAGCACCGGCUAACUCCGUGCCAGCAGCCGCGGUAAUUC